rnacentral:rRNA from 1 species
UGGUGGAGUGAUUUGUCUGCUUAAUUGCGUUAACGAACGAGACCUCAGCCUGCUAAAUAGUUAUGCGAACCAUCUGCUCGGGUGAAGCGCUCGGGGCAGUCACUACCCUCGGGUGGUGGCACCCUGCGCGUGGAUCCUUGAUGCGUUCGUAGCGAUACUUCUUAGAGGGACAAUUGGUAUCAAGCCAAUGGAAGUUUGAGGCAACAACA